CAGAGCCUCAAAGAGCACCCAGCAUAACUGUGGGAGAAUAGUAAGCAUUGGACACAAAAUGGUUUAGGCAAAUAAUGAUGAACAAAAAUGGUCAGUCUGUGUUCCUGCUGACCCAGCACAGUGGGGACGCUGUGUAGGACAUGACCUUUGGGGGAAAGGACACAAGAACUCAGCGUGGGGGAUCCAGAAAAGAAGUCGCACGUAUUGAAGCCAGUAACGCCAAGCCAGUGAAUUCUCCUUGACGAGAAAGACCCACUUACUCUGCAGAAGAGAUAUAUGACAGCUGACAAUCCCUGGAGGAGAAUCUUUCUACUAAAUUGUAACUCCAGGUUGAAGAACUUCUACUUAUAGGCAUCUAUUCAACGAAGACGAAUCCUGGAAUGGGGAUGGAAAUGAUGGCUCAUGUCUUAGCAAACUACCAAACUGAUCCGAGAGGACAGGGAAGUCAGUGUGGGCGGCUCUAAGGAGCCUCCCUCUCUACAGCUGCGGCUCAGAGGAUUACGGCGCUUCAUCCACAAGGCAACAUUGCACAAGUAGCUUUUGAACAAAAGUCAUGGAUACUAUUAAUGAUAUGUUCCCACACACAUUUAGUGUCGUCUCAAAAUUCACGCUGUCAACUGUCUCUAGGAAUCAUUUCCAUCUGAGAACAGACCACACAAAGACACAGUGAAACUCAGUUUCUGCAGAAUUUGAUUUCAUUUGAGUUACUGGGGAACAAAGCAAUUAGACAAUGAAUAAUAGCUCAAGACAGGCUGAAGCUGAAGAUUUCUGCAAAAGAAUGAAGAGGAAACGUUUUGAUCCUGAGCAGAUGUUCUCCCUAGAUUGCUUCACCUGAGGUUGAUUGACUUUUGGAAACGAGAUUUGUUCCCAGUGCUUUGUGAGUCUCUUGUUGGAAGGACUGUCUUUAAAUUAAAGCAAUUAGAGUUACUUUAUAAGAUUUACCCAAAUAUAAGAGCUGAAGAGAAUAAUUCAAAUUGAUCAGAAGAAAAUACUCAAUUACUGACAAAUGUCAAUUACAUCAAUAGCCUAGGCUGCUCUUGAACUCCUGGGCUCAAACGAUCCUCC
rnacentral:lncRNA from 1 species